UACGUAGGGGGCGAGCGUUGUCCGGAGUUACUGGGCGUAAAGCGCUUGUAGGCGGUCCACCAAGUUUGGGGUGACAGUUGCCGACUUAAUCGGCAAAGUGCCUCAAAGACUGGCGGACUUGAGGGCCACAGAGGGACAUGGAACUCCAGGUGUAGUGGUGAAAUGCGUAGAGAUCUGGAAGAACACCAAAGGCGAAGGCAGCAUCCUGGGAAGUUCCUGACGCUCGGGUGCGAAAGCCAGGGGAGCGAACGGG
rnacentral:rRNA from 1 species